AGUGUCAUCCAAGGCGGCGGGAGAAGGAUCCUGUCACCGACUGUACCGACCAAGGUGUAGUAAGCUACCAACCAAGUGGAUUAAAAUCUUUGAAUUCGUUAUCUUGAUGGAAUAUUGCGAAUUCAGUGGUUCAGCGCAUUUGUCCUCCCAUUCCAAGCCGCAUUCCAGAACAGCCUGUACAAAUGUUUGCACAUGCCAAACUGUCCACUUAAGGGAGUUGUUGCCAUCCCCUCCCAUUUGUGUACGCAUUAUGCGAACACACGGGAGCAAUUGAAAAUCAGGAAAACAGACAAUCAUACUUCCCCGAAAGCCCGCAACGCUCAUUGUCUAAAUAGUAGAGCGCGAGCAAAGAAGAAGCAAAGCUCUCUGCUGAGCUGCAGUUCUUAACUUCCACGUUUUUGUGGCCAGCAAAUAUACACGAAUCUAUGUACCUCCCUCCAAACACUCGUUCAAUCUCUGGCUGGGUGGGUUGAACGACUCGGCGGUGAGACACCCUGUUGAAGCCAGCUGGAAAGAUCGCAUCUCGUUUCCGUACCACACAAAAGGUACGUGAAGAAGACACUGGAAAUGGCCGUCCAUAACCCGCGGUGUGGCGGCUUUGUUUGCGAUGGCGUGUCAGCAAUUUUUCGGAACCCAAAGAACCCAACAAUCAAAGUCCAACGACCAAUCCAAUAAAUGCUGACCAGAAGACUUACAGAAUCUGUCGUGCGGUAU